GCUACCAUGCAGUCGAGCGGGAUUUACCGGUUUAGUUUACUAAACUGGUAAAUUCAGCGGCGGACGGGUGAGUAACGCGUGAGCAAUCUGCCUUGUACAGGGGGAUAACAGCCGGAAACGGCUGCUAAUACCGCAUAAGGCCACAGUACCGCAUGGUACAGGGGUCAAAGGAGAGAUCCGGUAUAAGAUGAGCUCGCGUUCCAUUAGCUGGUUGGUGAGGUAACGGCCCACCAAGGCGACGAUGGGUAGCCGGCCUGAGAGGGUGAACGGCCACAUUGGGACUGAGACACGGCCCAAACUCCUACGGGAGGCAGCAGUGGGGGAUAUUGCGCAAUGGGGGAAACCCUGACGCAGCAACGCCGCGUGAGUGAAGGAGGCCUUCGGGUCGUAAAACUCUGUGACAGGGGAAGAAGAAAGUGACGGUACCCUGAGAGGAAGCCCCGGCUAACUACGUGCCAGCGGCCGCGGUAAUACGUAGGGGGCAAGCGUUGUCCGGAAUUACUGGGCGUAAAGGGUGCGUAGGCAGCCAGGCAAGUCCGAUGUGAAAUACCACGACUAAACUGUGGGGGUGCAUAGGAAACUGUCUGGCUUGAGUGCAGGAGAGGAAAGUGGAAUUCCUGGUGUAGCGGUGAAAUGCGUAGAGAUCAGGAAGAACACCAGUGGCGAAGGCGACUUUCUGGGCUGUAACUGACGCUGAGGCACGAAAGCGUGGGGAGCAAACAGGAUUAGGUACCCUGGUAGU
rnacentral:rRNA from 1 species